UACGAAGGGGGCUAGCGUUGUUCGGAAUUACUGGGCGUAAAGCGCGCGCAGGCGGCUAUCCAAGUCAGUGGUGAAAGCCCGGAGCUCAACUCCAGAACUGCCUUUGAUACUGGCGAUCUUGAGUCCGGGAGAGGUGAGUGGAACUCCGAGUGUAGAGGUGAAAUUCGUAGAUAUUCGGAAGAACACCAGUGGCGAAGGCGGCUCACUGGCCCGGUACUGACGCUGAUGUGCGAAAGCGUGGGGAGCAAACAGG
rnacentral:rRNA from 1 species